UACGUAGGGGGCAAGCAUUGUCCGGAUUUACUGGGCGUAAAGAGCGUGUAGGCGGCCACGCAGGUCCGUUGUGAAAACUGGAGGCUCAACCUCCAGACGUCGACGGAAACCGUAUGGCUAGAGUCCGGAAGAGGAGAGUGGAAUUCCUGGUGUAGCGGUGAAAUGCGCAGAUAUCAGGAAGAACACCAAUGGCGAAGGCAGCUCUCUGGGACGGUACUGACGCUGAGACGCGAAAGCGUGGGGAGCGAACAGG
rnacentral:rRNA from 1 species